rnacentral:rRNA from 1 species
CGGGUCGUAAAGUUCUGUUGUUAGGGAAGAACAAGUACCAGAGUAACUGCUGGUACCUUGACGGUACCUAACCAGAAAGCCACGGCUAACUACGUGCCAGCAGCCGCGGUAAUACGUAGGUGGCAAGCGUUGUCCGGAAUUAUUGGGCGUAAAGCGCGCGCAGGCGGUUUCUUAAGUCUGAUGUGAAAGCCCACGGCUCAACCGUGGAGGGUCAUUGGAAACUGGGGAACUUGAGUGCAGAAGAGGAGAGUGGAAUUCCACGUGUAGCGGUGAAAUGCGUAGAGAUGUGGAGGAACACCAGUGGCGAAGGCGACUCUCUGGUCUGUAACUGACGCUGAGGCGCGAAAGCGUGGGGAGCGAACAGGAUUAGAUACCCUGGUAGUCACGCCGUAAACGAUGAGUGCUAAGUGUUAGAGGGUUUCCGCCCUUUAGUGCUGCAGCAAACGCAUUAAGCACUCCGCCUGGGGAGUACGGUCGCAAGACUG